rnacentral:rRNA from 1 species
UACGUAGGGGGCUAGCGUUGUCCGGAUUUAUUGGGCGUAAAGAGCGUGUAGGCGGCCAGGUAGGUCUGCUGUGAAAACUCGAGGCUCAACCUCGAGACGUCGGCGGAAACCAUCCGGCUAGAGUCCGGAAGAGGAGAAUGGAAUUCCCGGUGUAGCGGUGAAAUGCGCAGAUAUCGGGAAGAACACCCGUGGCGAAGGCGGUUCUCUGGGACGGUACUGACGCUGAGACGCGAAAGCGUGGGGAGCGAACAGG